UGGGCAACCUGCCCCUCUCUCUGGGAUAACCCCGGGAAACCGGAGCUAAUACCGGAUACUCCGGCUGGAUCGCAUGGUCCGGCCGGGAAAGGUCCGCCGGAGAGGGAUGGGCCCGCGGCCUAUCAGCUUGUUGGUGGGGUCAUGGCUCACCAAGGCGACGACGGGUAGCUGGUCUGAGAGGACGACCAGCCCACACUGGAACUGAGAUACGGUCCAGACCUCCGUACGGGAGGCA
rnacentral:rRNA from 1 species